AAUAGAUACCCCGGUAGUCCACCCCGUAAACGUUGGGAACUAGUUGUGGGGUCCUUUCCACGGAUUCCGUGACGCAGCUAACGCAUUAAGUUCCCCGCCUGGGGAGUACGGCCGCAAGGCUAAAACUCAAAGGAAUUGACGGGGACCCGCACAAGCGGCGGAGCAUGCGGAUUAAUUCGAUGCAACGCGAAGAACCUUACCAAGGCUUGACAUACACGAGAACGGGCCAGAAAUGGUCAACUCUUUGGACACUCGUGAACAGGUGGUGCAUGGUUGUCGUCAGCUCGUGUCGUGAGAUGUUGGGUUAAGUCCCGCAACGAGCGCAACCCUCGUUCUAUGUUGCCAGCACGUAAUGGUGGGAACUCAUGGGAUACUGCCGGGGUCAACUCGGAGGAAGGUGGGGAUGACGUCAAAUCAUCAUGCCCCUUAUGUCUUGGGCUUCACGCAUGCUACAAUGGCCGGUACAAUGGGCUGCGAUACCGUAAGGUGGAGCGAAUCCCAAAAAGCCGGUCCCAGUUCGGAUUGAGGUCUGCAACUCGACCUCA
rnacentral:rRNA from 1 species